AGCUCCAAUAGCGUAUAUUAAAGUUGCUGCUGUUAAAAAGCUCGUAGUUGGAUUUCUGAUAUUAAUUUAUCUGUCCCGUCGUGGUUACACGUAUGAGUGACGGAAUAAAUUUAUCUGUUUUGUAUGUGUGUUUUAUGAUGUGAAAGCAUUUGUAAAAUAACUAUACAUCUUUUACUUUGAACAAAUUAGAGUGUUUCAAGCAGGCAUUUAUGCCUUGAAUACAUGAGCAUGGAAUAAUCAUCGAGGACUUUUUAGUUCUAUGUUGAUUGGUUCUAGAACUAUAGUAAUGAUGGAUAGGGAUAGUUGGGGGUGCUAGUAUUCCGAGGCCAGAGGUGAAAUUCUUGGAUUCUCGGAAGACUCACUUAGGCGAAAGCAUUCACCAAGGAUGUCUUCA
rnacentral:rRNA from 1 species